AAUAACGGAGCCGUAGCGAAAGCGAGUCCGAAUAGGGCGUAUAGUCAGUGGGGGUAGACGCGAAACUUUGUGAUCUAUCCAUGGGCAGGUUGAAGUUUUGGUAACACAAAAUGGAGGACCGAACCCGUUGACGUUGAAAAGUCUUGGGAUGACCUGUGGAUAGGGGUGAAAGGCCAAUCAAACUGAGAGAUAGCUCGUUCUCCCCGAAAUGUUUUUAGGAACAGCCUCGGAUAAUAGAAGUGUGUUAGAGGUAGAGCUACUGAUUGGGCUAGGGGGCUUCAUCGCCUACCAAACCCUGACAAACUCCGAAUGCUAACACAUAUCUCCGGGAGUGAGGCUACGGGCGCUAAGGUCCGUGGCCGAGAGGGAAAUAACCCAGAUUAGCGACUAAGGUCCCCAAUCCACGUCUAAGUUGAAUAAACGCGGUGGGACUUCUAUAACAGCCAGGAUGUUUGCUCGGAAGCAGCAAUUCAUUUAAAGAGUGCGUAACAGCUCACUGGUCGAGAGGUCCUGCACGGAAAAUAAUCGGGCAUCAAGACGUGAACCGAAGUCCUAAAAUUGCACUUUGAGUGUAUAUUGGUAGGGGAGCAUUGAAAACAGCGUAGAAGGCGACGGGCGACCGUUGUUGGAGUGUUUUCAAAAGAAAAUGUAGGCAUAAGUAACGAUAAUUAAAGUGAAAAACUUUAACGCCGAAAGUCUAAGGGUUCCUGAUCAACGUUAAUCGGAUCAGGGUUAGUCUGGUCCUUAGGAGAACCCGAGAGGGGUAUCUGAUGGAAAGAAGGUUAAUAUUCCUUCACCUGCAUAUCAAUAAAAGUGACGGAUCACCGUGGCAUGUGCGUCCUGACGGAAUAGGGCGCUGAGCAGAACCUUCGGGGGAAGCGAACGUGUAAAAGUGGUUCCAAGAAAAGCGAGAUAUGCAGCCAGUACCGCAAACCGACACAGGUAGACGGGAUGAGUAUUCUAAGGCGCUCGGGUGAGCCGUGGAGAAGGAACUAGGCAAAUUAAUGCUGUAACUUCGGGAUAAAGCAUACCAUAGCGAUAUGGUCUCAGUAAAUAGGUUCAACCAACUGUUUAACAAAAACAUAGGGCCCUGCAAAAUCGAAAGAUGACGUAUAGAGCCUGAUACCUGCCCGGUGCUGGAAGGUUAAGGAAGGAUGUUAGCUGCAAAGCGAAGCUUCUGACUGAAGCCCCAGUAAACGGCGGCCGUAACUAUAACGGUCCUAAGGUAGCGAAAUUCCUUGUCGGGUAAGUUCCGACCUGCACGAAUGGUCUAAUGAGUUGAACACUGUCUCCUCCACGAGCCCGGUGAAAUUGUAGUAUCGGUGAAGAUGCCGGUUACCCGCCACGGGACGAAAAGACCCCGUGAACCUUCACUACAACUUUGCAUUGAUUUUGAGCAACCGAUGUGUAGGAUAGUUGGGAGACUAUGAAGCAUGCACGCCAGUGUGUGUGGAGUCAACGUUGAAAUACCAACCUUCUGUUGCUUAGAACCUAAUCCUGAAUAAGGAGACAUUGCAUGGUGGGUAGUUUGACUGGGGUGGUCGCCUCCUAAAAAGUAACGGAGGCUUGCAAAGGUACCCUCAGUACGGUUGGUAAUCGUACAAAGAGCGCAUUAGUAUAAGGGUGCUUGACUGUGAGGCAGACACGCCGAGCAGGGACGAAAGUCGGCUAAAGUGAUCCGGUGGUUCUGUAUGGAAGGGCCAUCGCUCAAAGGAUAAAAGGUACUCCGGGGAUAACAGGCUGAUCUUACCCAAGAGCUCAUAUCGACGGUAAGGUUUGGCACCUCGAUGUCGGUUCGUCACAUCCUGGGGCUGGAGAAGGUCCCAAGGGUUGGGCUGUUCGCCCAUUAAAGUGGCACGUGAACUGGGUUCAGAACGUCGCAAGACAGUUCGGUCUCUAUCUGUGGUGGGCGCUAGUAAAUUGCGAGGACAUGACCUUAGUACGAGAGGACCGGGUCGUAUGUACCGCUGGUGAAUCAGUUAUGCCGCCAGGUGUAGUGCUGAGUAGCUACGUACAGCUAGGAUAAACGCUGAAAGCAUCUAAGCGUGAAACCUUCCUCAAGAUGAGUUUACUUUUAAGGGUCGUCAGAGACGAUGACGUUGAUAGGCUAUAGAUGUAAAGGUGGUAACAUCAAAGUCGAGUAGUACUAAUUGCCCGUAAGCUUUAUUUUU
rnacentral:rRNA from 1 species